UACAGUAAAUGAACAAGUGCAGCAGCUAUGGUUCAAGAAGGCCAUGGUGACCAGAGGCUCAGACCCUUCAGGGAGGAGGCUCAGGGUCACCUUAUCAGGCUGGACUUUAACCACGUGGAAAGCAAGAUUAGAGGCCCCCUGAAUAGUACUGUUCACGAAGACUAAAAGGAACUGAGUGUGCCUGAGCUUAAGCAUCACGAAGACCAGUAAU
rnacentral:lncRNA from 10 species